UUGUUAGUUUUCUAUGGCUAUGAAGAAACAGCAUGACCUUGCAUACAGUUUUAGAAGAUGUUCAAGAUCGUGCUGUGAGUGACAGGUGGAACUUGACCCAAACAUUCUGCUCUGGAGUUUGUCCUCUUCAUCAGUGUGGUUUAUAACCUACGUGGAAAGGCAUAGCACCAGAAGGAUACAAGCAGUCCAGUUUCAUAGCUACCUGAAUCAGUAGCAGUGAUGUGAUCCCAUAGAAGCCGGAAGACUCCACCGAAUUGGCACAAAUUGGUGGGAAGUGUCAGAAUGAGAACACCACAAGAAGGUCUUUGGAGCAUUUCUCUCUGUGAAGUGAAGAUCAGCAAAGACCAGUGCAGAAGCACAGAGUUGCAGGACACGGCAAUGCAAGGGCAUCCUAUCACUGUCGUGGGGUUCCAUCUGUAUUCUUUCUAAGCAUCACAUGUUCUCUCAGAUGUCUGUUUUCAGUUAAAUAUCACAUGCCCUCUGGAAGACAGCUUCAGGGAAAACAUCACAUGACACAACGGAGGUGUUAAGAAACCAGAAAUUUCUACUUCAGACCUGUUUUACACAGCUGAUGACUUGAUUAAACUUUUGUCUACAUAGUA